GAUUCUAAAACACAAAAUGAAGAAAAAGAAUUUAAAGCCAAAGGAAAUGCAUCUUAUAGCAGAGAGCUGGCUACCUGCCAAACCAAACAAUCCCUGAGACUGCGGCGGGACUGGGAAGCAAGCUGAGCUGCCACGCUGCUAACUUGUCAAACAUACAUACCGGGCUUUGCUUAACAACAAUGCGACACGUGUCUGCUAGAAGCCUAAGGAACCAUCAGACAGAUGAGCUACAAAUACUUAGAGUACAAUCCCUCGAUCAACCAACCACUCCAAACUUUUUUCAUCCUGUUCUUGAAGAAGUGCUUCUUUACUGGGAACUUGACACAUUCAGACCUAUGGGUUUACCAAGAAAUGCAGCAAAUAAAGCAUGGAGAGCACAUUUGAAUAAAAGGACCAGGGAACCAGCAAGGAACAUCAAGACAUGAGAUCUACAGGAUCAAAGAGAAAGCCCUCACAUUGUAUCAUGAGAUUCAACUGGCAGAAGGCCACUACAGUGCAAAGAUUCUGAAAUUAGUCUGUAUAUUUUAAUAAACUGAUUUGCUUAAUUAA